rnacentral:rRNA from 1 species
UUGGCGGACGGGUGAGUAACGCGUGGGUAACCUGCCUUGUACUGGGGGACGAACAGUUGGAAACGACUGCUAAUACCGCAUAAGCGCACAGCUUCGCAUGAAGCAGUGUGAAAAACUCCGGUGGUACAAGAUGGACCCGCGUCUGAUUAGCUGGUUGGUGAGGUAACGGCCCACCAAGGCGACGAUCAGUAGCCGGCCUGAGAGGGUGAACGGCCACAUUGGGACUGAGACACGGCCCAA